rnacentral:rRNA from 1 species
UCAACCGAGAUUCCCCCAGUAGCGGCGAGCGAACGGGGAGCAGCCCAGAGCCUGAAUCAGUGUGUGUGUUAGUGGAAGCGUCUGGAAAGGCGCGCGAUACAGGGUGACAGCCCCGUACACAAAAAUGCACAUGCUGUGAGCUCGAUGAGUAGGGCGGGACACGUGGUAUCCUGUCUGAAUAUGGGGGGACCAUCCUCCAAGGCUAAAUACUCCUGACUGACCGAUAGUGAACCAGUACCGUGAGGGAAAGGCGAAAAGAACCCCGGCGAGGGGAGUGAAAAAGAACCUGAAACCGUGUACGUACAAGCAGUGGGAGCACGCUUAGGCGUGUGACUGCGUACCUUUUGUAUAAUGGGUCAGCGACUUAUAUUCUGUAGCAAGGUUAACCGAAUAGGGGAGCCGAAGGGAAACCGAGUCUUAACUGGGCGUUAAGUUGCAGGGUAUAGACCCGAAACCCGGUGAUCUAGCCAUGGGCAGGUUGAAGGUUGGGUAACACUAACUGGAGGACCGAACCGACUAAUGUUGAAAAAUUAGCGGAUGACUUGUGGCUGGGGGUGAAAGGCCAAUCAAACCGGGAGAUAGCUGGUUCUCCCCGAAAGCUAUUUAGGUAGCGCCUCGUGAAUUCAUCUCCGGGGGUAGAGCACUGUUUCGGCAAGGGGGUCAUCCCGACUUACCAACCCGAUGCAAACUGCGAAUACCGGAGAAUGUUAUCACGGGAGACACACGGCGGGUGCUAACGUCCGUCGUGAAGAGGGAAACAACCCAGACCGCCAGCUAAGGUCCCAAAGUCAUGGUUAAGUGGGAAACGAUGUGGGAAGGCCCAGACAGCCAGGAUGUUGGCUUAGAAGCAGCCAUCAUUUAAAGAAAGCGUAAUAGCUCACUGGUCGAGUCGGCCUGCGCGGAAGAUGUAACGGGGCUAAACCAUG